CAGCCGCCGCGGUAAUACCGGCGGCCCGAGUGGCGGUCACUAUUAUUGGGCUUAAAGCGUCCGUAGCCGGGUUGGGAAGUCCUCCGGGAAAUCUGGCCGCUUAACGGUCAGAAUGCCGGAGGAUACUCCCAGCCUAGGGAGCGGGAGAGGCCGAGGGGAUUCCCGGGGUAGGGGGGAAAUCCUAUAAUCCCGGGAGGACCACCUGUGGCGAAGGCGCUCGGCUGGAACGCGUCCGACGGUGAGGGACGAAGGCCAGGGGAGCAAACCGGAUUAGAUACCCGGGUAGUCCUGGCUGUAAACGAUGCGGACUUUGUGUCGGACAAGCUAUGAGCUUGUCCGGUGCCGGAGGGAAACCGUUAAGUCCGCCGCCUGGGGAGUACGGCCGCAAGGCUGAAACUUAAAGGAAUAGGCGGG
rnacentral:rRNA from 1 species